rnacentral:rRNA from 1 species
AUUGAACGCUGGCGGCAUGCCUUACACAUGCAAGUCGAACGGUAACGCGGGGCAACCUGGCGACGAGUGGCGAACGGGUGAGUAAAGCAUCGGAACGUGCCCAGUAGUGGGGGAUAGCCCGGCGAAAGCCGGAUUAAUACCGCAUACGACCUAUGGGUGAAAGGGGGGGAUCGCAAGACCUCUCGCUAUUGGAGCGGCCGAUGUCAGAUUAGGUAGUUGGUGGGGUAAAGGCCUACCAAGGCGACGAUCUGUAGCUGGUCUGAGAGGACGACCGGCGGCACUGGGACUGAGACACGGCCCAGACUCCUACGGGUGGCAGCAGUGGGGAAUUUUGGACAAUGGGCGCAAGCCUGAUCCAGCCAUGCCGCGGGCGGGAAGAAGGCCUUCGGGUUGUGAACCGCUUUUGUCAGGGAAGAAAUCCUUUGGGUUAAUACCUCGGGGGGAUGACGGUACCUGAAGAAUAAGCCCUUACUAACUACGUGCCAGCCGCCGCCGUAA